GUUGUGGCUCAAGGGUAGAGCACUUGCCUGGCAUGGGUGAGGCAGUGAGUUCAAUCCUCACCACA
rnacentral:tRNA from 1 species